rnacentral:rRNA from 1 species
CAGCACCUCAAGUGGUCAGGAUGAUUAUUGGGCCUAAAGCAUCCGUAGCCGGCUCUGUAAGUUUUCGGUUAAAUCUGUAUGCUCAACAUACAGGCUGCCGCGAAUACUGCAGAGCUAGGGAGUGGGAGAGGUAGACGGUACUCGGUAGGAAGGGGUAAAAUCCUUUGAUCUAUUGAUGACCACCUGUGGCGAAGGCGGUCUACCAGAACACGUCCGACGGUGAGGGAUGAAAGCUGGGGGAGCAAACCGGAUUAGAUACCCGUGUAGUCC